UAAACUCUUGUGAUUUUUUUCUAUUCGCUUUUAAGGAAUCAUAACAAGGAAAAGAUCCGGGUUAAAAGAACAACUCGUUCGCAAUUUGGAGCAUCAAACAAGUGUUCAGUUUUAGGUUUUCAAGACUUGCAGUUUUUCAGCCACUGAAUCAAAACAAUGCAGCAUCUGGAUGCUCUUUUUGUGAAACGUCACAGUGAAGUUCUCAUCAAGAGGGUUACUCCUGUGAUGCCCAUUGCUGAUGCAUUGAAAGACGCUGCAAUAAUUCAGCAAGAAAUAUACACACAGAUUCUGAAUUCGUCUACAGAUGUGAAUAAAAUGACGGUG